rnacentral:rRNA from 1 species
GUGGGGAACUGGUGAGUAACACGCCUGUAACCUGCCCUUGAAGUAGGGGAUAACACUUGGAAACAGGUGCUAAUACCGUAUAACAACCAAAACCACCUGGUUUUGGUUUAAAAGACGGCUUCGGCUGUCACUUUAGGAUGGACCCGCGGCGUAUUAGCUUGUUGGUAAGGUAACGGCCUACCAAGGCGAUGAUACGUAGCCGACCUGAGAGGGUAAUCGGCCACAUUGGGACUGAGACACGGCCCAAACUCCUACGGGAGGCAGCAGUAGGGAAUCUUCCACAAUGGACGAAAGUCUGAUGGAGCAACGCCGCGUGAGUGAUGAAGGGUUUCGGCUCGUAAAACUCUGUUGUUGGAGAAGAACAGGUGUCAGAGUAACUGUUGACAUCUUGACGGUAUCCAACCAGAAAGCCACGGCUAACUACGUGCCAGCAGCCGCGGUAAUACGUAGGUGGCAAGCGUUGUCCGGAUUUAUUUGGCGUAAAGCGAGCGCAGGCGGUUUUUUAGGUCUGAUGUGAAAGCCUUCGGCUUAACCGGAGAAGUGCAUCGGAAACCGGGAGACUUGAGUGCAGAAGAGGACAGUGGAACUCCAUGUGUAGCGGUGAAAUGCGUAGAUAUAUGGAAGAACACCAGUGGCGAAGGCGGCUGUCUGGUCUGUAACUGACGCUGAGGCUCGAAAG